rnacentral:lncRNA from 1 species
ACGAUUACAGUUAUCAGAGUAUCUUCUGCCACCAUUGGCUAUACUCGGUAUCCAACAAAGAUCUUGACUUAGACAAAGUCUACUUUGUCUUCUCAUAUCCAUGAGGCUCGGGUGUUUAAAGUCUUUUCAUACUACCCUUUUCAACAAAGGUUGUUGCCACUAGUGGGUGUUUUACAUUCAAAUGAUACAAAACCAUUGUUAGGAUGAUUCUCU